CGGAAUUUUACACCGUUGUUGAAAAUUCAUACACCCAUUCGGCUGCGCCUUAGGGUGUAUGAAUUUUCAACAACGGUGUAAAAUUCUG
rnacentral:sRNA from 1 species